CAGUUCGGAUUGUAGCUGCAACUCGACUACAUGAAGCUGGAAUCGCUAGUAAUCGCGAAUCAGAAUGUCGCGGUGAAUACGUUCCCGGGUCUUGUACACACCGCCCGUCACACCAUGGGAGUCGGGAAUGCCCGAAGUCAGUGACCCAACCGGAAGGAGGGAGCUGCCGAAGGCAGGCUCGAUAACUGGGUGAAGUCGUAACAAGGUAAC
rnacentral:rRNA from 1 species